GACGAACGCUGGCGGUGUGCCUCACACAUGCAAGUCGAGCGGAUUUACUUAGUAGCUUGCUAUUAAGUAAGUUAGCGGCGGACGGGUGAGUAAUGCGUAGGAAUCUACCCUAAGGUAGGGGAUAACGGGCUGAAAGGUCCGCUAAUACCCCAUAUGCGGGUUCUCUUCGGAGGAUUCGUGAAAGGAGCAAUUCGCCUUUGGAUGAGCCUGCGUCUGAUUAGCUAGUUGGUAGGGUAAAAGCCUACCAAGGCUACGAUCGGUAGUUGGUCUGAGAGGAUGAUCAGCCACAAUGGGACUGAGACACGGCCAUACUCCUACGGGAGGCAGCAGUGGGGUAAUUUUACGCAAUGGGCGAAAGCCUGACGUAGCGACACCGCGUGAGCGAAAGAAGUCC
rnacentral:rRNA from 1 species